GCUGUCGAUAUAGCUCUGUCGCAGCAUCUUGCGAAUCAGCCAUAUAACGCCAAUGGCAGCAAGCCCAGAUGUCGUUUUCAGAAGGCGACUGCACGAAAUAUCAGGAGUCGGCUGCA
rnacentral:rRNA from 1 species